UAAAGAUGCUCGUUAAGCGCAGAAGGACGAAAAGACCCCGGGACCUUUACUAUACCUUGGUAUUGGCGUUAGGCGCGGAUUGUGUAGCAUAGGCGGGAGACUUCGAUCCAUGGACGCCAGUUCGUGGGGAGUCGCAAGGUGAAAUACCGCUCUGUUCUCGUUUGACGUCUAACCACGAGCGGUCAUCCCGCUCUGGGACAGUGCCUGGCG
rnacentral:rRNA from 1 species